GGGUGUCUGCCUUAUGCAGUUGCAGAUAAGGGAUGAAACACACCCUGGCCUCCUGCAACGCCCCCAGGCUUGCUAGGAUUAGGAAAUUCCAGCCUGGCAAAUUCUAGUCAGACCAGUUCUCUGCUCUUGAACCCUGUUAAGAUGUUUAUCAAUGACAAUGUGAGCACAGUGGGACAUAGAAGUUCAUUAGUGAUUCCAGUUUUGCCCUGACCUUGUGAUCUCACCCUGACCUUCUGCCUUGUGAUCUUUCGUCACCCUUGAAGCAUGUGAUCUCUGUGACCCACACCUUAUUUGUACACUCCCUCCCCUUUGAAAAUUGCUAAUAAAAACUUGCUGGUUUUACGGCUCAGGGGGCAUCACGGAACCUGCCGACAUGUGAUGUCUCCCCCGGACACCCAGCUUUAAAAUUUCUCUCUUGUACUCUUUCCCUUUAUUUCUAGACCGGCCAACACUUAGAGAAAUAGAAAAGAACCUAUGUGAAAUAUCGGGGGCUGGUUUCCCCUGAUAGUGAAGGAGACAGGUUAGAUACACUGGAGCUUCCACACAGGAGAGAGGGAAGGAGCUGGAGAAGAAGUAGCUGAAUAUAACUGGCCAGUGCAGAAGAGCCUAUGAAGGUGGAAAAUGGAGGAAGGAGGACCCCAUGCUGGAGAAGUGAUGGAGAUUUGAAGCCUUGGAAGAUGGCGGCAAGGGAGAUGCCAGAGAUGAGACAAUGUUAAACAUCUGUAAUCUAACAGUCUUCUAUGGGAGUUUAUUACAUUUCCAUAUCCUAUGUUCACUUCUAGUGAAAAAUAAAAAUAAAAUCUUAAGCCCCCCACAGCUGACUAAAUGGAUCCCAUUGUGAAAGGAAAAUAUCUUGAGCCUCCAAAAUCACUAAGGAAAAUUCAAGCUGGAAACUUCUUAGGACAAACCUGCCUCCCAUUCUCUUCAAAGUUAUUCCUCUGCUCGAGGAGCUAGAUGCAUAUCUGAUUGCCGCCUUUGGAAAGGCUAACCAGAAACUCAAAAGAAUGAUACAGUUUGUUAUCACCUACCUGUGACCUGGAAGCUCCCUCCCUCCCCACUUGAGUCUUCCUGCUUUUGUUUCAAGCUGUCCUGCCUUUCCAGACCAAACCAAUGUACUUCUUACGUAUAUUGAUUGAUGUCUCACUCAUGUCUCCCUAAAUCGUAUAAAACCAAGCUGUGCCCCAACUACCCUGGGCAUGUGUCAUCAGGAUUUCAUGAAGCUGUGUCACGGGCGCAUUCCCCAACCUUGAAAAAAUAAACUUUCUAAAUUAACUGAGACCUGUCUCAGAUUUUCUGGGUUCACAUUGUUUUCGUCAAGGGGACUCCCCAAGUAACUUUGAAAACUGAGUUCUAGGCUGUGAGGGGAUGGGAGGUCAGAGGUCAGACGCACCUUGCUGCACACCUCCACCUCGCUAACCCCCUUAGGCUUUCUUCCCUAGGGGCUAAACAGAAACCAGCUCUUUCCUUUUUUUUUUUUCUUUUUUUUUAGAGACGAGUCUUGCUCUGUCACCCAGGCUGGAGUGCAGUGGUUCGAUUUUGGCUCACUGCAACCACCACCUCCCAGGUUCAAGCAAUUCUCCUGCCUCAGCUUCCCAAGUAACUGCAACUACAAGCACAUGCCACCAUGCCCGGCUAAUUUCUUUUGUAUUUUUAGUAGAGAUGGGGUUUCACCAUGUUGCCCGGGCUGGUCUUGAACUCCUGAGCUCAGGCAAUCUGUCCGCCUCAGCCUCCCAAAGUGCUAGGAUUACAGGCAUGAGCCACUGCACCCAGCCAAAACCAGCUCUUUCAAAAGACUCCAGUGCUGAUAUCAACAACUGCCUGAGGCUUCCCCACCCUUUUGCAGUUUCCACAUAACAAUUAACCAGCAUUCCCUCCUGAUAAGAGACAACACCCCGCCCGCCGACGCAGAGCGGUUCUGGCCAGUCUUCAGAGGCUGCACACAGAGAGCCUGCGUGUCCCUGCUUUGUCUUUCGAUGUAAAAGGCCUAACUGUCAUGCAUUGAAAUGUGAAGUCUCCAGCCCAAAGUGAACAUGGGACACAUGCUGCAUGCAUGUUAGCCUGCUACACAUGCAUGAUCCUCUUCAUGAAUAUUCAUAGCUCCUCCUGUAAUCUGUUGAAUAUGUAUACUUAGCCAACCUGCUCAACAUAAAUUCCUGUUCCCUUUACCCCUCCUUUGAAAUAUGUGUUUCCAGCUUCUGGCCCAAGGCUACGCUUUCCAGCCUGUCAGAAUGGCUGCCUGCAAGCAGCAACCCUUUAGGAGAAAGAAAGCUCUCCUUUCCAAAUUUAUAAAUGUCAUCAUACUUCAGUUUACAAUAGUAUUUAAUUUUUUGACCUUUAAGUUCUCCAAGGUCCUUCUCCAUUUUUAAGGCUUUCGAAAUUAACUGAUGAUUCUACUAAAAAGCUAAAAAUAGGUUUUUUGUUUCCAAAUAAUCAGAACAUAAUACAGUCAAAAGCACCAUAUAGAAAUAGUUCCCUGUUUCCAGCCAAUACGGCUGUGUCUCUGUUUUGAACAUUUGCCUCCAGAGUGUUGCUGAUGCAGUUCAAACAGAAAGCACUGAGAAAUAAAAUUUGCAAGUGGUUUCUGUUGAGAGUUUCUACUGUUUAUAAGUCUGCGAGAAUUAGUUACGUUACAGCAGGGAGUGAGAGAGAGAAGCAGCGGGUACCAAAACCUCGCUGAGCUCCUACCUGCCCUCCCCAUUUCUUGCCCGCCCCCCAUGGCUACCUGCCCCCUGCGAUGAACUCGAGACCUUGGAAUGAGAAACAGUUCAGAGUUGUCUGGUGUGUGCAUAUCACCUGUGGUCUAACUCAUCACCCUGAAAGAAACCAAAAUAUUUCACCCCAAAAUACCCUUCUUUGACAUAUUUUGAGAGGGCUGUUCAGAGGGCCUGCGAGCAUGGGCAGCCCUGCAAAGGUGUCUGGUGGGGGAGAUUUGCAUCUGAGGGAAAAUCAGCAGUGAUACAGUCAGGCUUAGAGUUCCUCCCUUGUCUGGAUCUAGAAAAGAUUAACUGAGAGUGACAUCUUUAAAGAGCUGAAAGAAACAUUUCCCAUCUAUUCUCUGUGACGGUUGCCACCUGCAAGGUUUCAUCUACAUAACAAGACCACCUUUGCAGACCAGGUCUCCUCUUCUCUCCCUCCCAUAACCUGUCUUGCCAUUAGAAACUGAUUUACCACCAUAACCUGUUUUUAGCCAUGCUCUGAGGCCCCAUUCUUUCUGUAACCUUGAGACGGCAUAAAGAGGUCAACCAUCUGGCCAUUUCUUUGAGUUCUUAUAUUUUGUAGGACUCCCAUAUAUAUUAAUAAAUUUGGAUGCCUUUUCUCCUAUUAAUAUGCCUUUUGUCAGUUGAUUUUUCAGUGAACCUUCAGCGGGUGAAGGAGAAGUUUUCCCUUGGUCCCUACAAUCUGUUUACCCUAAACCAGGCUGAUACAAAAAUUAAAUGAUGU
rnacentral:lncRNA from 10 species